rnacentral:rRNA from 1 species
CACGUAGGGUGCGAGCGUUGUCCGGAAUUAUUGGGCGUAAAGAGCUCGUAGGCGGUGUGUCGCGUCGGCCGUGAAAACCUGCAGCUUAACUGUGGGCUUGCGGUCGAUACGGGCAUCACUGGAGUUCGGCAGGGGAGACUGGAAUUCCUGGUGUAGCGGUGAAAUGCGCAGAUAUCAGGAGGAACACCGGUGGCGAAGGCGGGUCUCUGGCCCGAUACUGACGCUGAGGAGCGAAAGCGUGGGGAGCGAACAGG